UAUUGUUUAUAUGUUACUAGUAUGUAGUAGAUAUUACUAGGUUAAUUUAUCAAAACAAAAUUUGUUCCUUUAGUUUAAAAUACAUUCUAUUAUUAGUUAGCUAGAUGAUGAAUGUCAAUUGCGGUUAUGUAAUUGUUUAAGUAUAAGACAAUCAGUUGCCCAUUUGAAAAUUUUUAUGUGGCCAAGUAUAGAUAUAGUGUGCUUUUAGAGGCAUAAAAAUUCUCAAAUUGUCCCACGUUUGGACAAUUCAAGGCUGGAUAGAUUAGAAUGCUUUUGGUUCCCUGAUUUAAAUGCACAUGCUAGUUCUGCAUUGUAUCUGUCCUUUUCUCUCUGGUUAUAUUUCUUAUAUUUAUUUCUAAUGUCAAAUAUCCUCACAUUAUAUAGAUACUUGAUGUGGAAAUCAAAUGCAAGAUCAACGUAUCUAGAGAGACGUGGGGAGAUGCUGCCGGAAUUUUGGUGUGGACAUUUAAAUGAGAACGUAAAAGCAUUGCAAUCUAUCCAGUCUUAGAUGGAUGACUAAUUUAGCCAGUCAAUUAAAGAUAUCAUUAGGGAUUCUAUAGGAAUCCCUAAAUCGUCAUUGCUUGUGGGGUUGCAAUUGUUGUAGCACAUGAACUUGCACAUCAAUGGUUUGGAAAUCUUGAAUGGAAUGGUGGAUACAUUUGUGGCUUAAUGAGGGUUUCACGACAUGGGUGAGCUAUUUAGCAACUGAUUGCUCGUUUUCUGAAUGGAAAAUUUGGACGCAAUUUCUUGACCAGACUACUCAGGGCCUUAGGCUGGACUGGCUUGCAGAAUCACACGCUAUUGAGGUUGUACUGUGGAUGCUUGCUAUGAGGAAAGAAGAGUCCAGCAAAACCUGAUACACAUGGGAUAUAUCUAUAUAUACAUGUGCAAGUGUAUGAAGAUAGAAGAGGCUGCAGCAUUGAGGAUGCCAAAGUUGUUUGUGAACCCCAUAUUUUGGACCAGAAUCUGUCUAUAUGAGUAAAAAGACCCACAACUUUUUCUUCUUUUCAUUUUCUGAAGUUGGUUUUGGUUUUUUUUUUUCCCUCCUGUUUGGAAGGGAUUCUUGGAUGAUCAAUACACACAACAGUUCUUCCAGGAUUAACUGUUCAUUAUAAAUUAAUAAAAUGAUUUUAAGGAUUAGAAAAUAUAGGUCUAAAAUGAUUUAUUUUAGCUUUCAAAAAGUGGUGAGAUUUUGAAA